rnacentral:rRNA from 1 species
UCGCCUGUUUAUCAAAAACAUAGCCUCAUGCUUCACUUAUAUGAGGUGUAUCCUGCCCGGUGAUUUUUAACGGCCGCAGUACUCUGACUGUGCAAAGGUAGCACAAUCACUUGCCUUUUAAUUGGAGGCUAGUAUGAAUGGACCCACGAGAAUAAGACUGUCUCUAAACUACCUAUAAAAACUAGACCCCAAGUGAAGAUACUUGGAUAAAAAUAAAGGACAAAAAGACCCUAUAGAGCUGCAUUUACCUAAACCUAUUACGAACAAAAAACGAAAUUCAUUUAAAGUAAAUUUUGUUGGGGCGACAAAGGAAUAUACAAAUCUUCCUUAAUAAAAACGAAAACAACUCUUAUAAAAGACCCUUAUAAAGAUCAAAGAAAAAAGCUACCUUAGGGAUAACAGGCUAAUCUCCUCAGAGAGUCCAAAUUGACGAGGAGGAUUGGCACCUCGAUGUUGGCUUAAGAUACCCCCUAAGUGCAGAAGCUUAGAAAGGUUGGUUUGUUCAACCAUUAAAAUCUUACGUGAUCUGAGUUCAGACCGG